AUUGAACGCUGGCGGCAGGCCUAACACAUGCAAGUCGAGCGGAUGAGUGGAGCUUGCUCCAUGAUUCAGCGGCGGACGGGUGGGUAAUGCCUAGGAAUCUGCCUGGUAGUGGGGGACAACGUUUCGAAAGGAACGCUAAUACCGCAUACGUCCUACGGGAGAAAGCAGGGGACCUUCGGGCCUUGCGCUAUCAGAUGAGCCUAGGUCGGAUUAGCUAGUAGGUGAGGUAAUGGCUCACCUAGGCGACGAUCCGUAACUGGUCUGAGAGGAUGAUCAGUCACACUGGAACUGAGACACGGUCCAGACUCCUACGGGAGGCAGCAGUGGGAAUAUUGGGACAAUGGGCGAAAGCCUGAUCCAGCCAUGCCGCGUGUGUGAAGAAGGUCUUCGGAUUGUAAACUGCUUUAUUACAAGAAG
rnacentral:rRNA from 1 species